AAGUCGUAACAAGGUUUCCGUAGGUGAACCUGCGGAAGGAUCAUUAACACGUAUCCAAACGUAAAAAACCCCCCCCGUGAACAUUCAAUCCUGCUCUUGUAACCCGCGUAGUUCGCAAUCUCUGGUAAAUCAUAGCCCGGAAAGUAGUUUUGAUUCAGAGACCUCUGGCUACGUGAGAACAUUGGAACAGUUACAAUCGAGCGGUAGUUUCAUAGGCAUUGUUUCCCCAAGCAGUUAGUGUCUGAAAGUGUCACUGAUUGUGCAAGGAUAGCGCUUCAACGAUUCCUGUAGACCGUACACUCGGGCAGGAGCUAUGCCAAAGGGUCCCCAUGCCCCCUUAUAACCCCACAGUUUAAUGUGAAGCUCAAUGUAAUACAUUGGGUAAAAACCGAACAACUGUUAACAAUGGAUAUCUUGGUUCUC
rnacentral:misc_RNA from 1 species